rfam:Clostridium sp. CAG:1024 genomic scaffold, scf107
GACCCGUUAGCUCAGUCGGUAGAGCACUUGACUUUUAAUCAAGGUGUCCGGAGUUCGAAUCUCCGACGGGUCA